rnacentral:rRNA from 1 species
UACGGAGGGUGCGAGCGUUGUCCGGAAUCACUGGGCGUAAAGGGCGCGUAGGUGGCGUCGCAAGUCAACGGUGAAAGCUCGACGCUCAACGUCGAGUCGGCCGUCGAGACUGCGAGGCUUGAGCACUGUAGAGGCAGAUGGAAUUCCGGGUGUAGCGGUGGAAUGCGUAGAGAUCCGGAAGAACACCGGUGGCGAAGGCGGGUCUCUGGGCCGAUACUGACGCUGAGGAGCGAAAGCGUGGGGAGCGAACAGG